rnacentral:rRNA from 1 species
GACGAACCGUGCUAACGUUGUUCGGAAUCACUGGGCUUAAAGGGCGCGUAGGCGGGCAUGCAAGUCAGGGGUGAAAUCCCACGGCUUAACCGUGGAAGUGCCUUUGAUACUGCGUGUCUUGAGGGAGGUAGGGGCGUGCGGAACUUCCGGUGGAGCGGUGAAAUGCGUAGAUAUCGGAAGGAACACCGGUGGCGAAAGCGGCGCGCUGGACCUCUUCUGACGCUGAGGCGCGAAAGCCAGGGGAGCAAACGGG